rnacentral:SRP_RNA from 1 species
GCCGGGCGAGGUGGCAGGCGCCUGUAGUCCCAGCUACUUCGGAGGCUGAGGCAGGAGAAUGGCGUGAACCUGGGAGGCGGAGCUUGCAGUGAGCCGAGAUCCGGCCACUGAGAUAGCAUCUUGCUUUAUCACCCAUGCUGGAGUGCAGUGGUGCAAUCUCGGCUCACUGCAAGCUCCGCCUCCCAGGUUCACGCCAUUCUCCUGCCUCAG